UGUUCUAUUAUUGAUUGACUUGUUCAUGUUCUUGAAUUUUUAGAAACUCACGUGUUAAAAUUUUUUUAGAAGCUUCAUCGUGAAAUUUGUUCCUAUGAUGCUGAUUUCACAUGAUUUGCAUAUCAAUUGAACUUAACUUUUCUUGUGAUUCGCAUGAUAGAAAUCUGUCAUAAAAUGAAAUUCAUAACCCCUGUUUUUCCCUUGUUAAAGCUGACCUCGUUAUUUUUCUAUGAUUUUCUUGUUAAGGAAUUCUAAGAUUGGAUCCUUAACAAAAGUUGUUUGUCUCUCUUUUGUUCGCGCUGUGGUAAAAUUUCAUAUUCUUUAGAUUUUCUUUUUAGAUCAAAUCACUAUUAAUGUGUCAUGACAUCCCGAUAUUUUGCUGCAAUUCCAACGUGAUAUUAUGCAUUCUUGAAUUUUCUUUAACUUCCAUGUAGCUCACGUUAAAAAAAAAGCUUUUGCCAUGAAAGUUGUUACUAUGAUUGAGUGUGCAUUUGAUUCCAAUUUGAGAUUAGUUUGGUUGUGAACCGAUGCCAUUUUGAUCAAGAAGAUUCAUACGUGCUUGCGGUAAGAUAUGGCUUCAAUUUCAUGGCGAUUUGUCAUCAAACAAUCACAAUUUAUAAUCUCAUGUGCUCUGUUACAAUUCUGAUUACAUGCUGGAAGUUGUGGAUUAAACAUAGAUUAGAUGGAUAUACAUGUAGCAUGAACAUGUUCAAUGAUGCAUAUUGUUUGGUGAAUGAUCUUUUGUCAGCUAAUUCAUUUGUUUGAUUAAUUGAGAACCAAUGUUAUAUGACUUGGAUGUCUGUCAUAUUAUAUGUUUUGCAUGUGAUCAUUUGAUAAAUGGUUUUGGUGCGACACAUAUCAAUGCUGAACUUUAGGAUAUCACUCGAAACUUGACUUCGCAUUGUACUUCUUUUAAAC
rnacentral:lncRNA from 1 species